ensembl:lncRNA
AUGGACUACACCAUGGUCAUCACAGGAAAUAGCAGAUUGAAACUGUCUUUAAAGGGCACACCAGCGACUUUACUCAAGAUGUUUAGUUUGGUUGUGGAAGGUAAACUUUAUGUCUUCUAUAGUUGUAUAAUUUCUGAAAUGAGCCAAAGCAAGAAUUAAAAUCUGAAUAUCUUGGUUGCUUUAUUUCAGUCGUAGUUUGGAUGAAGAAGAAUUUCCAGGAAGUGCAACGGAUAAAUUGAUCUCUUUUUCAGAAUGGAAACAUGCAAAAGUGUUACAAUCCCUGGGUGUUUUGAGUUUUGUUUAAACUUUGCAUUUCUUAGUUUCUCUGUUUAUUGAUAGUCUAAAGGUUUGUUUCACACCUAGUUUACUUCUGGGCUUUAGUUUAUUUUGUGUUCCUUGAAUUCCUUUUGUUCCCAUGUCUGGUCUAGCUCCAUUUGUGUUUUUGUCUUGCAAUCCCUUGUGCCGAGUUAGGUGUUAUUCCUCAGUGUCUUGUUCUUGUUUUCUCUAUGUUGCUUAGUUUUCUCAUUUGUGUUUUUUUUUUUUUUUUUUUUAUCAGUUAAGAUUGUUUCGUAUUCCUUCUUUGACCUGUCAUUCUUCCCUUGUGUUCUCAUGCCUUGUCUAAUUUUCGCCUGUCUUUGAUUCUGUGUUUAGUAAUUUCCUGAUUAAUUUUGAUGGUCUUGUGCUUGGUAUUGAGUUUUGCCUCCCCUGUCUCAUUAAUCCUGAUUUACUUCCUUAUGUGUUCCUUUGCGUCCCCAUCUUAUCUUUGUCCUAUUGUCUUUCCAUGUUCUAGUCUUCCUGUUCUGCUCUAUGUUAGCUCGUGUUUCCUGUUCAGUUGUGUCUUCCAGCUUUCCUGUGCUUCCUAUGACUCAUGUCAUUUACUUCCUCGCCUCACCUAGUGGUCCCUUUAAUUUAUAUUAUGUGUUUUUGAAGCUGCAGCAUUAAAGCUAUUAUGUGAGUUCACACCUGGCUUCUCAAACUUUCCAUUUGGGUCUGCAACCUGUUCAGCGCACAGCACUAGAUGAUAAAAAGGUUGUUAUGAGUGUGUUUGUGUAGAAAUGUCUCAGACUCUAAAAUUAUGCUUUUGUAACUGUUGUAGUAGACUCAAAGCAGUUUGCAAACUGAUCAAAACUUUCAUAUAAUGAGUCAUGUUUAUUGAACUGGGUUAUAGUUCUUCCAUGUGGCUGUUUGUUAGAUUUAGGUAACAAGGCACUUCAUUAGGUAUAAGACAAAAAGUCAAGUUGUAUAGAUGUCUAAAGGGAAAACGCCCUUCAGCCCCCUUAGUCUUACACAUCACUUUCCAGGUAAGUUAAAUAUCACAAAUUUCAUGCUUCUACAUUAUAGUUCUGUUACAGUGCUAUGCAGUCAAACCGUGUCAGAGACACAUUCACACUACAGCUAAUUUAGAUAGACCAAUUAAUCCAACACCA